rnacentral:rRNA from 1 species
CCUACGGGUGGCAGCAGUGGGGAAUUUUGGACAAUGGGCGCAAGCCUGAUCCAGCUAUUCCGCGUGUGGGAAGACGGCCUUCGGGUUGUAAACCACUUUUGUAGAGAACGAAAAGUCUAUUGAUAAUACCGAUAGAUGAUGACGGUACUCUAAGAAUAAGCACCGGCUAACUACGUGCCAGCAGCCGCGGUAAUACGUAGGGUGCGAGCGUUAAUCGGAAUUUCUGGGCGUAAAGGGUGUGCAGGCGGUUUUGCAAGAUGGAUGGGAAAGCCCCGGGCUUAACCUGGGAAAGCCAUACAUGACUGCAAGACUAGAGUGCGUGAGAGGGGGGUGGAAUUCCAAGUGUAGCAGUGAAAUGCGUAGAUAUUUGGAAGAACACCGAUGGCGAAGGCAGCCCCCUGGGACGCAACUGACGCUCAUACACGAAAGCGUGGGGAGCAAACAGGAUUAGAUACCCGUGUAGUC